AUGACUGUGUGAGUUUCCGGAUACUUGAGCUGAUCCAAUACUACUCACCAUUUCAUUAUGAGCAUCUUCUUUCGCUGCUUGCAGUGUAUCACACAUUACCGCGCUUCGUACAUUGCGGGAAGCGCUUGUGUGGCACGUAAUCCUGUCUUUGCGGUCAGUCAUCGAAAUCCGACGGCUCCCGAACGUGUUCUUCGCGCUCCAAGUCAUGACAGCAUUCCAGUUCCGUUGUUGAUAGACUGUUCGUUGGAUAAUAGUUGUGUCCAGAAUCACUGACGCACGAAUAAGCCCGGAAACAUAUUUCUACAAAUUGUACUAUCGAUUGACAUCACCAGAACACGGAACACAGGUGGACGUCGUACUAUUCCGAAACUAUGCUGAAACGGCCGAGACGCUGCACGCAUAUGCGCGCGACCAAAAUGCGCUUUGAAAACAUUGCCGACGGUGGUGGUGGUGCUGGUGGUGCUGGUGAAAGGGCUCGCCGGGCAUUGUCGACGAAUCGGAGCGCGCACAGCCUCCCGGCCAAUGGACUUGAGACGAGGUGUCUAGGCGCAGUGGUAUAUAAUUCCACAGCCAGAACGGCGGGUAGCUGAGGAGGACUGACGUUAUUUAGCAAUCGCCGAAAGAAAACAGGCAAAGCUGGCGGUGAGAGAGCUGACGAGGAACCCGAGGAGAGAAAGGGGAGGAGGAUAGGCAAGGGGAUACGGUCUGCGCAUGCGCACUUCACCCAUGCUUUUUCCCGCACUGUGUACGACUCUUGGGGGUCACGUGGUUUGGGAGCUGCCAUGUACUCUGGAUCAUUGCCUCUAUUGCAGGGUCCUGCAGUUGGUGCAAACUCCGAUGGGCGCGCAUUUGUCACACUAGACCUCUACCCGAAAAACGUCAUCGUGACGUUGGUAGACAGACUGUGUUCCACGAACGGGCACUCGUUCGCUGCCUCGUAUUGAAAUAAAUGUAGGACCGAAGGUAGCAUCCCUUUCAGGGACCAUCGUAAUCCCCUAAAGACCGCGGCUUUCGGACGCGACCUUGUUCGCCCCCUAGCUUCGAGCAUAGUUCAACUCUACGAAAUUGGUGGCGCUGUCGAACACUAUAACGUCAUUUGUUUACAAACAGGGAGAGGUCUAUUACACGCGUCUGGGGCCGUUUACAUCCCAUGGCCACGGCUUCCUGCUCGCGUACUUCUUCGUUUUUCCAGCUUCGUCUCUUGCAGCCAAUACGCGUUGGGCCUCUGCUUUUGGCGUUCCGGUGCUGCAUCAGGCGCGCCGAGUCUCCGUAUCUGCGGAUGGCGUACAACUCUCCGUGCCCGCACCAUAGCGUCUGGUAAAUACCUGCGCUCGCGCCUCGCGUUUCUUAUUCUUUUUCAUCUGAUCCCCGAGUUGCCGCGCCGCUGGCGCCGAAUAAAAUGUCAGGAACCACGCAGCGGGCUUGACAAAAGUUCCCUCAUACAGCUAUCACCGUAAAAAGGUGGGGGAGUGCCACACUGUAAGAAAUAGUCGUGAAAAAUACGGGCAUGUCGCCGCGAAAAUAACGGGCGCGAACCCGUUGUUUCAAAUCACACGCGUUUCCUGUUAUUUCGUGGGGACGAGGAGUCUGGGCAUGCGCACUAGAUCUUCAUGGCCUUCUCAGCAACCGGUACUCGUGUGAGGAACGCAAGUGUGCCCCGACUGUCAAACCCGUCAAAGUCAAAGCUGUGUCUGCCCUCGUGGGCUUUCGCAAGAAGAUUUUGAAGGUAUGUGAACUCUUAUUAUGCCCUUUAUGCUGUCAGCUUUUUAGAAUAAAGGGAAACAUGCGCCGCCGUUGUGUUACCAAAUACGUAGUGAAUGGCGCCUUCUUCAACGGAACGUUGUCGCCUUCCGCUGUGUUCUCACUUGUCACACUGUCCAUGUCGUAGCCAUGCAUGUUCUUCAAAUUCCCCUCUCAAACCACUAAAAUGAGCAAUGUGUAACUUUCUGAAACUAGUGGAAGGGUGUGCGUUCACCCGCGUUAACAUUUGAAAUAGACCGGGGUUCACCAACGCCGGUUAACGAGAUUGAACGCUCAACCGAGAUCGAGGAUCCUUUACACCUUUUUAUUAAUAAGGUUAACUCGGGACGCAAGAUUCAUUUUAGAAAUGCUUGAUAGUGCUGUCGAAAGAGAGUUGAGUCGCAAUUCCAAGUCGAGGGACCCUUGAUCUCGUUUAACCGACGUUGAUCGAAUGAGGCCAUGUGUACGCCCGUCGGUCAUAUAAUUUUUAAGUUCUUGCACUAUUUAUGAGGCCAAUAACAUGAAACAAACAUGUGGAUAAAACAGUAGCAGAAAUGUGGUAAAAGUGUUGGCGAGACGUAUAUUUUCCCUUGUCCCGUAUACGCGAGACUAUCUUCGUUGUUAGCACCAAAAGCGUUCGACGACGUCUCCUGAUAUGAACGGGUAUCAAGUUACUGCACCGCACUAAUGGCACACCAGCAAGAAGAGCCCGCUUUGAAUGGGAAGAAUAACGAUUGCGCGUCUCUGAGUUUAACGAAAAUCUGGCGAUGGGUUCGCGAUAAUGAUGUGACACGUUUCAUUAGCUGAGCGGUGUUUGCAUGAUGAAGUGAUAGUGUAGCCGCACAAUACUUUUUUGCUACACAGCUUUUACUCUGAUGCAGACAACACCUGUUCCUUUUCAGGCAUCUUCUUGUACACGCCCUUUUUUAAUACUUUUGUGGCCUUAUCCCUUUCUCUAUUUUAUUACCAAACAGGGUCUGGGCAUCUACAGACAAGAAGCAAGCAGCAAACGAAGACUGGAAUGGAAGCCGCAAACAAGAAAGUUGCUGCAGCCCAUAUAGAGCACCCGUGAUGAAAAUGGCUGCCCAGGACAACAUAUCUUUGUGUUGAAGCCAGUCUGCGCAUAUUUUAAUGAAGACUAUGAGGUCUGCACCUUGUUCCACACUCACAGAGCUGGGCCAACAGCUGUGGAGUGCGCAGCCCCAACACCACGCCUCUGCUAUUGCGUCAUCACUGCUACACUUCUCAGGUAUUGUUCUUCCCUUGGACAACGACAAAAUGCUAACUGCAAGGAGCGUGGAGAAAGCAUUGGCGCUUCAGCCGGGGUGUAUUUCAACUACGAUGUGCAGUACCUGCCACCAACGUUUCAUAUGUUAGAAUUCAUGCAAUGCUAUUUUGGACACAUCAGGCCUGAAAGAGGAACACAGCACCCCCAACAGUAAACAAGAUUAAGUGGCAUGCCGUUUCGCGUUCUAUCACACCUCUGCAAACUGGGGUAAAGUUGAAAGGAGCCAUUGCAAGCUACCGUUCUGCAGAAAGUUACUGCACUGUAUACUUGAGUGAAUAUAUUGUCUUAUGUGUG